rnacentral:ncRNA from 1 species
UUGUGGGUGACUACGAAUCUGAAGGAAGCCGGAUGGCAAAUCUCUGGUCUGACGCACAGAAAUCAUAUCAGGCUAAAAUCGGGGGUAAGGCUGCUAUACAAGUUGAAGCCCAAUAACUACACGGAACCGAUUGUGGUAAAUAUGGCAGAUGGAUGGAGAGAAGGAACGUGCG